AUCUGGAGAGUUUGAUCCUGGCUCAGAACGAACGCUGGCGGCGUGCCUAACACAUGCAAGUCCAACGUGAAAGGGGAGCAAUCCCCCGGUAGGGUGGCAAACGGGUGAGUAAUACAUGGGUGAUCUACCUUAGGGAUGGGGAUAUCCUUCCGAAAGGAGGGGCAAUACCGAAUAUUGUCCGGAGCCAUGAAGGGUUCCGGGGAAAGGGAGGCCUCUGAUACAAGCUUUCGCCUUAAGAUGAGCCCAUGGCCCAUCAGCUAGUUGGUAGGGUAAAGCCUACCAAGGCUACGACGGGUCGCUGGUCUGAGAGGACGACCAGCCACACUGGCACUGAGAUACGGGCCAGACUCCUACGGGAGGCAGCAGUGAGGAAUAUUG
rnacentral:rRNA from 1 species